rnacentral:rRNA from 1 species
UGUUAGCGGCGGACGGGUGAGUAACACGUGGGUAACCUGCCUGUAAGACUGGGAUAACUCCGGGAAACCGGGGCUAAUACCGGAUGGUUGUCUGAACCGCAUGGUUCAGACAUAAAAGGUGGCUUCGGCUACCACUUACAGAUGGACCCGCGGCGCAUUAGCUAGUUGGUGAGGUAACGGCUCACCAAGGCGACGAUGCGUAGCCGACCUGAGAGGGUGAUCGGCCACACUGGGACUGAGACACGGCCCAGACUCCUACGGGAGGCAGCAGUAGGGAAUCUUCCGCAAUGGACGAAAGUCUGACGGAGCAACGCCGCGUGAGUGAUGAAGGUUUUCGGAUCGUAAAGCUCUGUUGUUAGGGAAGAACAAGUGCCGUUCAAAUAGGGCGGCACCUUGACGGUACCUAACCAGAAAGCCACGGCUAACUACGUGCCAGCAGCCGCGGUAAUACGUAGGUGGCAAGCGUUGUCCGGAAUUAUUGGGCGUAAAGGGCUCGCAGGCGGUUUCUUAAGUCUGAUGUGAAAGCCCCCGGCUCAACCGGGGAGGGUCAUUGGAAACUGGGGAACUUGAGUGCAGAAGAGGAGAGUGGAAUUCCACGUGUAGCGGUGAAAUGCGUAGAGAUGUGGAGGAACACCAGUGGCGAAGGCGACUCUCUGGUCUGUAACUGACGCUGAGGAGCGAAAGCGUGGGGAGCGAACAGGAUUAGAUACCCUGGUAGUCCACGCCGUAAACGAUGAGUGCUAAGUGUUAGGGGGUUUCCGCCCCUUAGUGCUGCAGCUAACGCAUUAGGCACUCCGCCUGGGGAGUACGGUCGCAAGACUGAAACUCAAAGGAAUUGACGGGGGCCCGCACAAGCGGUGGAGCAUGUGGUUUAAUUCGAAGCAACGCGAAGAACCUUACCAGGUCUUGACAUCCUCUGACAAUCCUAGAGAUAGGACGUCCCCUUCGGGGGCAGAGUGACAGGUGGUGCAUGGUUGUCGUCAGCUCGUGUCGUGAGAUGUUGGGUUAAGUCCCGCAACGAGCGCAACCCUUGAUCUUAGUUGCCAGCAUUCAGUUGGGCACUCUAAGGUGACUGCCGGUGACAAACCGGAGGAAGGUGGGGAUGACGUCAAAUCAUCAUGCCCCUUAUGACCUGGGCUACACACGUGCUACAAUGGACAGAACAAAGGGCAGCGAAACCGCGAGGUUAAGCCAAUCCCACAAAUCUGUUCUCAGUUCGGAUCGCAGUCUGCAACUCGACUGCGUGAAGCUGGAAUCGCUAGUAAUCGCGGAUCAGCAUGCCGCG